rnacentral:rRNA from 1 species
GGGAUAACUCCGGGAAACCGGAGCUAAUACCGGAUAGUUCCUUGAACCGCAUGGUUCAAGGAUGAAAGACGGUUUCGGCUGUCACUUACAGAUGGACCCGCGGCGCAUUAGCUAGUUGGUGAGGUAACGGCUCACCAAGGCGACGAUGCGUAGCCGACCUGAGAGGGUGAUCGGCCACACUGGGACUGAGACACGGCCCAGACUCCUACGGGAGGCAGCAGUAGGGAAUCUUCCGCAAUGGACGAAAGUCUGACGGAGCAACGCCGCGUGAGUGAUGAAGGUUUUCGGAUCGUAAAGCUCUGUUGUUAGGGAAGAACAAGUGCAAGAGUAACUGCUUGCACCUUGACGGUACCUAACCAGAAAGCCACGGCUAACUACGUGCCAGCAGCCGCGGUAAUACGUAGGUGGCAAGCGUUGUCCGGAAUUAUUGGGCGUAAAGGGCUCGCAGGCGGUUUCUUAAG